GACGUAGGGGGCGAGCGUUGUCCGGAAUUACUGGGCGUAAAGAGCACGUAGGCGGGUAUUUAAGUCAGGUGUGAAAGACCGGGGCUCAACUCCGGGGUUGCACCUGAAACUGGGUAUCUUGAGGGCAGGAGAGGAAAGCAGAAUUCCUGGUGUAGCGGUGAAAUGCGUAGAAAUCAGGAGGAAUACCAGUGGCGAAGGCGGCUUUCUGGACUGACCCUGACGCUGAGGUGCGAAAGCGUGGGUAGCAAACAGG
rnacentral:rRNA from 1 species